rnacentral:tRNA from 1 species
AGUUUAGUAGCUUGGAAUGUGACGCGUCUGCCUUGUAAGCACUAGGUUGCGGGUUCGAUUCCCGCCUGGGGUG